CCUAAGCUACCUGCUUCAUCUUAGGCAAGUAACCUUCGUACAAAGACCAUCGGAUUCUUUCUGUGCCUAUAUUUGUAGCAGCAGAACAAAAAGGAGGGCAACAUAAUCAUUCUAUUCUUCAGAAAGUCGAUCCCUGCCUUUUUCUUUUUGGAUAUGCAUACACUGAUAUACACUUUCGAUUUUUGCUGUAGUUACCCUCUUGAAUAGAGAACUUGAGAGGGCAAUUUUCAUUGUUGUAUCAUUUCUUUUGAUGCCAUACACGGAAGCAAUUGUAAGAAUAGGUGUCAGAAUGAAGCUAUAUAUCCCCUUAUCGU
rnacentral:sRNA from 1 species